AUUGAACGCUGGCGGCAGGCCUAACACAUGCAAGUCGAGCGAGCGGCGGACGGGUGAGUAAUGCCUGGGAAUUGUCCAGUCGAGGGCGAUAACAGAUGGAAACUACUGCUAAUACCUCAUACGAUUGUCUUGCCCAGGUGGGAUUGGCUAGUUGGUGAGGUAAUGGCUGACCAAGGCGACGACCCCUAGCUGGGCUGAGAGGAUGAGCAGCCACACUGGAACUGAGACACGGUCCAGACUCCUACGGGAGGCAGCAGUGGGGAAUAUUGCGCAAUGGGGGAAACCCUGAUGCAGCCAUGCCGCGUGUGUGAAGAAGGCCUUCGGGUUGUAAAGCACUUUCAGCGAGGAGGCGUUACUCGCAGAGGAAGCACCGGCUAACUCCGUGCCAGCAGCCGCGGUAAUAC
rnacentral:rRNA from 1 species